CAAAAAUGAAAGUGGCCGCAUUCGUGUUCAUCCUCAACCUUUAUAUAUGUAAUGUAUUAUCAUAAAAUACAACUUACAUUUCAAUAUUAAGGAUGAACUCGAAUACGGCCACUUUCGUUUCACACGAAAACCGUCUAAAAUUUAACUAAAAUGCUAGAAUUGUGAAGAUUUCAGUAAUUUAGCAUGACUUAAUGGUGCUAGUACCCGAUAUAUGUGCAUUGUAUUGUCAAAAACAGCCCAUAUGUAUGUAGCAGAAGCAUUCUACUGUCCAAUAAAUAACUAAAAGUUUACAUUUUAACAAUGUUGUAAAACUGCUACAUUUUGGGGCCA
rnacentral:lncRNA from 1 species